rnacentral:lncRNA from 1 species
CAGAUUGUAAAAGAGAGCCACUACAGCCCUAUUUGUGGGGCUAGGUGUGGAAGUGCUUGGCCUGACAACUGUACUCCUUUAGCCAUGGUGCUGACUGUGCGGGGCCUCAUUUUACUCUUUCUUGUGUUGGCUCCUUAAGGUCUGCCUUGUACAUGUAAUCGAAUGCACCCUAUACGCUUGCAUUACAUUGGCACACUUAGAUGCUGGACCCCACGCCACCUGCAUACAUACCUGGCACCUGGCAAUCAGGUGACAGAUGACUGGAUGUUGGAGACAUAUCGAGCCCCUUAUUGUCAUAAUAUCUGCACUCUUGGAACAUUGAUGAAGGUCCAAGCAAGACGGUCAGAUUGUGGAAUCAAAGAGGGCCAGCAGUCUACAACCUAUAGAAGAGGAGUUUAAAAAAAUGAGCACUUGCUGUCAAGUGGAUAAAAGCAGAGAUGGUAGUGAGAGUGGAAGAAACGUGCUGUCCAUCCAGGACAAGUCUGUUCUGCAGGGACUGGUGGAGAGAGGCAAGCAGGGGUGAAGAGGCUUGCCAAGGGCCACAACAUACUGCCAGCAACUGGAUUUGAACCUCCAACCCUAUGAUUGGAAACCAUAGUCCCUUACCACUUGGCCACACGAAAGAGAUAUCCUGGCAGAAGGAGUUUUCGUUAUGGUUGCUGCAUCAGAGGCUCCGCUGUAAAAUGCUGACCAGUCAUAGAGGGCGCUAUUACCACUCCAUGAAACCUACUACACUGUACAUUAUACAAUGGUAAUG